AAUGUAGAAUACUCUAACCAGUUUGCACUUGCAGGUUCUCUUCUCAGACAUCAAUGCUUAUGAGGUGGACCUUGGUACCGAUGAUGAGAAGCACUGCUUCUGCCGUGAGUCAGACUUGUUAGCUGUAGUUGAAUGAAUUUUACCAUGAAAAUUUCGGACUUACCUGGGAAUGCUCCAACAGCAUGAACUUAUCUUGCCCCCACUUUGUUGUAUGCCAUUUGAACGUUCGU